rnacentral:tRNA from 1 species
CAAAAAAUAGUUUAAUUAAAAUAUUAAUUUUGGAGAUUAAUGAUAGAAAUUUAAAUUCUUUUUUUGA